GAGUUUGAUCGUGGCUCAGAUUGAACGCUGGCGGCAGGCCUAACACAUGCAAGUCGAGCGGUAGAGAGAAGCUUGCUUCUCUUGAGAGCGGCGGACGGGUGAGUAAUGCCUAGGAAUCUGCCUGGUAGUGGGGGAUAACGCUCGGAAACGGACGCUAAUACCGCAUACGUCCUACGGGAGAAAGCAGGGGACCUUCGGGCCUUGCGCUAUCAGAUGAGCCUAGGUCGGAUUAGCUAGUUGGUGAGGUAAUGGCUCACCAAGGCGACGAUCCGUAACUGGUCUGAGAGGAUGAUCAGUCACACUGGAACUGAGACACGGUCCAGACUCCUACGGGAGGCAGCAGUGGGGAAUAUUGGACAAUGGGCGAAAGCCUGAUCCAGCCAUGCCGCGUGUGUGAAGAAGGUCUUCGGAUUGUAAAG
rnacentral:rRNA from 1 species